AGCUUUGCGCAGUGGCAGUAUCAUAGCCGAUGAGGUUUACUCGAGGAGUGAUUAUUGCUGAUUGAAAAACUGAU
rnacentral:snRNA from 1 species